ACUUUCCUGUAUUCCUGCAUAGUGAGGUGAACAGAAUGAGCAAGGAAGGGUGGAUUCCUUUCUCAAGGUAUCAUUUGUAACAGCGCUCAUCUGUGUUGGAAGUGUAUAACCCACUCAUUGGAAGUGCUAAAGCCAUUUAACCUUUGAAAGGAUUCAUUUCUGAGCCUAGGAAUAAAAUGUUCUUAACACACAUAAAGUGGCUAACAUUGUGUGAAAGUUAGUGAAUUUGAAAGACCUCUUUUCAAGGUGGGCAGGUUUCCCUCCCUUUCUCUGCUCUGCGUGUUUGUGGGAUCAGGUUACUGGGUACCCUGCAGGGAGCUGGGUGUGGAGGUUCCUCCUCUGCUGUCUGCAAGGCUGGUGUUGCCAGUGGGCUGUGGGGAGAUGGAAGGGAGACUGAAAGGGACCCACCCGAGCUGCACCGUCUCUACCCUGAGAACAGCAUUCUGCAGUUGGAAUGCCCCCAUGCUAAACAGGCAGACUCUGACGUCUAAUAUCUGACCUCAGGACAUCUCCGAACCUUUUGUGGUACUGAGAAGUUUGUUUUUCUAAUUUAAAUGAACGAUUUUGUCACUCUUCUGCCUGUACUCUGGCAGUCUUUCCGCUGUGGGGUGGAGAAAUUGGAAAAGGGGCUGGGUGGAGGAUGAGUAGACCUGCAGGCAUGGUUUCUUUAUGGAGAGACAGUUCCUUCUCUCACCUCUCUCUUGGUGAGCUGUUGUCCAGGCUCACCAUACUGCUAGUCAAGAAGAGCAAGAGGAAGAGCAGGAAGACUCAGCUUGGCCCUGCGCCAAGUGGACAGAUGGACUGAAUGAUUGAAACUACU
rnacentral:lncRNA from 1 species